GCGACGAUGUAGUAGCGAAUUAUCUCCUCGUGGGAGUUGUCUCGUCGCGGGGUAAUAGUGUUGAUCGAGUUAUCUCCUCGUGGGAGUUGUCUCACGAUAAUGUAGUAGCACGGAUCAAUUAAUCUCCUCGUGGGAGUUGUCUCUGGGGUAAUAGAAUUGAUCGAGUUAUCUCCUCGUGGGAUUGUCUCGCGAUAAUGUAGUAGCACGGAUCAAUUAAUCUCCUCGUGGGAGUUGUCUCGCGAUAAUGUAGUAGCACGGAUCAAUUAAUCUCCUCGUGGGAGUUGUCUCUAGGGUAAUAGAAUUGAUCGAGUUAUCUCCUCGUGGGAGUUGUCUCGCGAUAAUGAAGUAGCACGGAGCUAGUAUUCU
rnacentral:lncRNA from 1 species